rnacentral:rRNA from 1 species
GAUGAACGCUGGCGGCGUGCCUAAUACAUGCAAGUCGAGCGAACAGAUGAGGAGCUUGCUCCUUUGACGUUAGCGGCGGACGGGUGAGUAACAUGAGGAUAACCUCCCUAUAAGACUGAGAUCACCUCGGGACUCCGGAGCAUAUACCGGAUAAUCUACUGCACCACAUGGUUCAAUAGUGAAAGUCGGUUUUGCUGUCUCUUAUCGCUGGUUCCGCGCCGCAUUAGCUAGUUGGUACGGUAACGGCUUACCAAGGCAACGAUGCGUAGCCGACCUGAGAGGGUGAUCGGCCACACUGGAACUGAGACACGGACCAGACUCCUACGGGAGGCAGCAGUAGGGAAUGUUCCGCAAUGGGCGAAAGCCUGGCGGAGCAACGCCGCGUGAGUGAUAAAGGUCUUCGGAUCGUGAAACUCUGUUAUGGGGGAAGAACAAAUUUGUAAGUAACUAUGCACGUCUUGACGGUACCGAAUCAGAAAGCCACGGCUAACUACGUG